GACGAACGCUGGCGGCGUGCUUAACACAUGCAAGUCGAACGGAAAGGCCCUGCUUGCAGGGUACUCGAGUGGCGAACGGGUGAGUAACACGUGGGUGAUCUGCCCUGCACUUCGGGAUAAGCCUGGGAAACUGGGUCUAAUACCGGAUAGGAGCCAUUUUUAGUGUGAUGGUUGGAAAGUUUUUUCGGUGUAGGAUGAGCUCGCGGCCUAUCAGCUUGUUGGUGGGGUAAUGGCCUACCAAGGCGGCAACGGGUAGCCGGCCUGAGGGGGUGGACGGCCACAUUGGGACUGAGAUACGGCCCAGACUCCUACGGGAGGCAGCAGUGGGGAAUAUUGCACAAUGGGCGCAAGCCUGAUGCAGCGACGCCGCGUGGGGGAUGACGGCCUUCGGGUUGUAAACUCCUUUCGCUAGGGACGAAGCUUUUUGUGACGGUACCUAGAUAAGAAGCACCGGCUAACUACGUG
rnacentral:rRNA from 1 species